GAUGAACGCUGGCGGCGUGCCUAAUACAUGCAAGUCGAGCGAACGGACGAGAAGCUUGCUUCUCUGAUGUUAGCGGCGGACGGGUGAGUAACACGUGGAUAACCUACCUAUAAGACUGGGAUAACUUCGGGAAACCGGAGCUAAUACCGGAUAAUAUUUUGAACCGCAUGGUUCAAAAGUGAAAGACGGUCUUGCUGUCACUUAUAGAUGGAUCCGCGCUGCAUUAGCUAGUUGGUAAGGUAACGGCUUACCAAGGCAACGAUGCAUAGCCGACCUGAGAGGGUGAUCGGCCACACUGGAACUGAGACACGGUCCAGACUCCUACGGGAGGCAGCAGUAGGGAAUCUUCCGCAAUGGGCGAAAGCCUGACGGAGCAACGCCGCGUGAGUGAUGAAGGUCUUCGGAUCGUAAAACUCUGUUAUUAGGGAAGAACAUAUGUGUAAGUAACUGUGCACAUCUUGACGGUACCUAAUCAGAAAGCCACGGCUAACUACGUGCCAGCAGCCGCGGUAAUACGUAGGUGGCAAGCGUUAUCCGGAAUUAUUGGGCGUAAAGCGCGCGUAGGCGGUUUUUUAAGUCUGAUGUGAAAGCCCACGGCUCAACCGUGGAGGGUCAUUGGAAACUGGAAAACUUGAGUGCAGAAGAGGAAAGUGGAAUUCCAUGUGUAGCGGUGAAAUGCGCAGAGAUAUGGAGGAACACCAGUGGCGAAGGCGACUUUCUGGUCUGUAACUGACGCUGAUGCGCGAAAGCGUGGGGAUCAAACAGGAUUAGAUACCCUGGUAGUCCACGCCGUAAACGAUGAGUGCUAAGUGUUAGGGGGUUUCCGCCCCUUAGUGCUGCAGCUAACGCAUUAAGCACUCCGCCUGGGGAGUACGACCGCAAGGUUGAAACUCAAAGGAAUUGACGGGGACCCGCACAAGCGGUGGAGCAUGUGGUUUAAUUCGAAGCAACGCGAAGAACCUUACCAAAUCUUGACAUCCUUUGACAACUCUAGAGAUAGAGCCUUCCCCUUCGGGGGACAAAGUGACAGGUGGUGCAUGGUUGUCGUCAGCUCGUGUCGUGAGAUGUUGGGUUAAGUCCCGCAACGAGCGCAACCCUUAAGCUUAGUUGCCAUCAUUAAGUUGGGCACUCUAAGUUGACUGCCGGUGACAAACCGGAGGAAGGUGGGGAUGACGUCAAAUCAUCAUGCCCCUUAUGAUUUGGGCUACACACGUGCUACAAUGGACAAUACAAAGGGCAGCGAAACCGCGAGGUCAAGCAAAUCCCAUAAAGUUGUUCUCAGUUCGGAUUGUAGUCUGCAACUCGACUACAUGAAGCUGGAAUCGCCAGUAAUCGUAGAUCAGCAUGCUACGGUGAAUACGUUCCCGGGUCU
rnacentral:rRNA from 1 species